rnacentral:snoRNA from 1 species
CUAAUUUGCUAACAUAGGAAGGUAAAGUAAGUCUCCAAUAACCCAGAAAAGAGAUUGCAAAACUCUUCUUUGGAUUCUGUCUGGAAUAAAUGCU